rnacentral:rRNA from 1 species
ACACGACUACAUUAGAUACCCCGGGUAGUCCUAGCCGUAAACGAUACUCGCUAGGUGUCGGCCACGGUGCGACCGUUGUCGGUGCCGUAGGGAAGCCGUGAAGCGAGCCACCUGGGAAGUACGGCCGCAAGGAUAGAAACUUAAAGGAAUUGGCGGGGGAGCACCGCAACGGGAGGAGCGUGCGGUUUAAUUGGAUUCAACACCGUAAACUCACCAGGGAAGACUGUUACAUGAAAGCCGAGAUGAAGACUCUGCUAGAUUUUCAG